rnacentral:rRNA from 1 species
UACGUAGGUGGCAAGCGUUGUCCGGAUUUAUUGGGCGUAAAGGGCGCGCAGGUGGUGUGCUAAGUCUGCCGUGAAAUCUCCCGGCUCAACUGGGAGGCUGCGGUGGAGACUGGCACGCUUGAGGUACCUAGAGGUCGGUGGAAUUCCCGGUGUGAGUGGUAGAAUGCGUAGAGAGUCGGAGGAACACCAGUGGCGAAGGCGGCCGGCCUGGGGGUGACCGUGACGCCUGAGGCGCGAAAGCGUGGGGAGCGA